rnacentral:lncRNA from 1 species
GAUGGGACUUUCGAAAAUAUUUGAAAUGGAGACCCGAGUAGGUUGAUUGGAGCAUGUCCCGAGCUGAUAGGUGGCACAAUUAACUCGGAUAGCUAUAGCAUCACUUUGAUUUGGGCAGCAUGUACGUAUAUAAAAGUCGUUUAGUUCUCCCCAUAUUCCCAUUUCCAUUCAUCCGAGAUUGGUCGUGGUGCUGCUCUGCCCUCAUUUUUAUGAUUCCUUUAGCGAGAUUUCAUGGUGAAACACCCCAUUUCAAGGCAUGGUGGCAUCUUUUGCAUCUCCGUCGACCCAUUCCUGAUGAUGCUUAUGCUCU